rnacentral:tRNA from 1 species
GCAGUCGUGGCUGAGCGUUUAAGGCGAUGGACUAGAAAUCCAUUGGGGUCUCCUCGCACAGGUUCAAAUCCUGUCGACUGCG